CCUCCUAGCCUCCGUCACCCACAAGCGCCCAAACUUGCUGUGCCCAUGCAGCUACAAGACAAGCCCCCACCCUCCUCUGGCCCUCAGCCCCCAGUUUGAAAGUCUGGGGCAGGAGACUGACAGGGAGGGAAGGAAGGAACCACGUGGAUACCUGCAUGUGUGUACAUGCCUGUGCAUGUGUGUGUGCGUGGAAAAGGCAAGGAUCCACCCCAGCUCCCUCUGCCUGCCCCCAUGCCUUCCAGAGCCUGAAGCCGGGGUGGCUUGUGCUCCGGGCCCCUGUAUUUGUGCAGGUGAAUGGUGAGGCUGCUUGGAAAUAGAUCAUUGCCCCCAUUUAGCGUGUGGUCGUGGGUGGGAUUUCAGCAACGCUAGGACAGAUCCCAGGGCCAGAGAGUUGAUGCCACAUGGCUGAAGCCCCAGCAAGGACUGAGAGCCCAGGAGAGAGAGACACAGGCCGGCUUUGGAAGGGUGGCUGAGGGCCAAGGCCGGCAAGUGGAGGAGAGCCUGGCAAUGCUGGGACCCAGAGCCUCAGCCUGGGGGCAGGGGGGUGUUGGGCUGUCUGGAUGCUGUGGAAGAUCCUGCAAAGAGGGCCUUGUGAUGUGUGAGCUCCCCACCCCACCAGCACCAGCGCUUGCCACGCAUGCCCUUUUACUGCCACCCCAGGCCCCUCAGGCUCACCAACACUCCUUGACCCUCAGGGACCCCCUAUGGCCCCCAAGCCCUAAAGAUAGAGUGGCUGAGCCUAGCUCUCGCUAGCUGCCCUCCAUCCCCCAGGUGCCCACUAUCCAAGGGGUCUGGGGGAGUAGGGGGCUCCCAUGUCCCCUGGGACUGGAGCUGGUGUCUCCUUCCUGCCCUCUGGGACCUUAUCAGUCAUCUGCCUGCUCACUAUCAGGCCGGAGGGACGGCCCACAGGCCUCCAGCCUGGCCUGCCUCUUCCAGUAAGUGGCCUCUUGCCCGUGUGCUCAAAGAGCUAUUGUUCCAAAAGGGAUAAAGGGGGAGGACAGGAGUCCCAUCAGCUAUGUCAGCUGGCCAGUCAGGGUCAGACCCAAGGGCCUGGGCUUGCCCAGACUCAGGGCAACUCCUAGGGCCAGCUGUGCCUGAGCAGCCAGCGGGGGCCCAUGCCUGGAGUGAGGCCUGAAUUCAGGCACCACCCCCCUGAUCUCAGCUCCUCAUCCCAUCUCAGCCUGGGGGAGGCAGGAAGAAGAACGAGACAACAGUGGCCAGUCCCCCAGACAAAGGGCACAAGCUGGUGACCCUCAGGCCAUGGGGGCUCUGCAGCUAUGACCCAGUGGCCGGAGGGGUCAAGAUGGACGGCCCAAGGCUGGGGCCUUUCUGAGCAGGAAAUGUGAUCCGCCGGCUGAUUGAUGUCCCUACCUGGUCUUUGUCCACAAGCCUCCGCUCAGCCCCCACCCUGUGCAGGGCUGCACCUCGUCCCAGCGACAAGGCCCUGCCUGGAGGACAUCUCCUCCUCCAGGGGUUCCCACCCUUGGCUCCUUCCAGAGACUGGGACUGGCUGUGCCUGAGUCCACGCUAACCUCUGAAGUGGGGGCGAGGGCCCCGUGUGGACGGCCAGCGCCAUGUUUCCUGUGAAGCAGGUUGUCUGGGGGUAAUUUGAAUUUCCUGGCAGAGGGGCUCCUGUGGCCACACCCUCCCUACCACCUGCCCAAGUGAGGGGGGUGCCCCUCAGCAGUGCCCCUGGGGUUUGACCACCAGUGACGGUUAUGUUCUUUCCCUGGUCAGUCGACUUUUGUUUCUCAAACUGAGUUCUUCCCUGAUGCCAUAGCUGAGUCCUCACAGCACACAUGGGGACAAGGAAUGAGCAGGGCACAGCUAACCCAACUGCGGGAAGGACUGGCCAGGGAGGCUCCCAGGAGGAGGAGACUGGAGCUUCGAGAUGGGUGGGGAGGAAGGGCCUGCCGGACAGAGGUCAGGAAAGGCCUGGUUUCUUCAAGGUGCGGGGCUCUCGGAGGCUGGAGAACAGAGGUGGGGCCGAGAGCCCGGCAGGAGGCAGGCCGUUUGGGAAGGGGGCAGUGUAAUCAGCCUUGUGCUUUAAGCGGCUGUGGUCACUCCACUGGGGGGCGGGGGAUCUGAUCACACAGGGCAGGGCCCCCUGACCAGCUGAGGCACCGCCUCUAAGGGACUUCCCGAGGCCCAGAGGGAGCCCCUUCCUCCCCUCCCCUGGCCCCAGGGCUCUCUUCUUCUGGCCACCCUCCCAACCAGUGAGCCGCAUCCGACAUUGUAGCACAAGUGUAUGGAGAAACAGGGCCAGCGUCACCGGUGUGCAGCCAGGGCCGCCGCGUGGCCCCAUGCUUGGAAGGGCCCCGUGGUUUAAUGCUGUCUUGUAAUUCUAGAUAAUCUUACCUUUGAACUUGCGUUUUGUGGGUGGGACAAUGGAGUGUGGGCACCAGCAGGGUCCGCACCACUACAUGCCACGGCCCUAUUCCCACGCAGAGUCCGUGAAGGUCUGAGAGCAGAGUCUGGGAGACUCACCACGUGCUUGUGGGGGGUCAGCAGGCCCCAAAGUGAGCACAAGGUGUGUUACACACCAGGAAGCAGGGGGUUGCCCAACAGCCCCGGGGGACCUCGCUCUCCCUAGAGCCAGAAACCCCUCCAAUCACAGGAAGGAAGCAGUAGCUGUAAGAAAUACCACCAACAGGGAGCCCACCACGUCCUUUCUUACGGGGGUCCCGUCCCUGCGUCAGCCAAGCACUUACCCUCAAAUGACGAUGUGGAGGGAAGGGAGAGCCCUGGCACCCCAGCCCCUUGCCCCUUUCCCAGCUCCUCAGUUUGCUGGAGGAGAAUGCAGACAUUAGAUAAAAACAGCUGAGUUCGUUUUGGGGCGAGUCUCUCCUGUUUUGUUAAAGCGAAAUACAAGAGCAUGUACCGGCUACAGAAUACAAAUUAUGUGAUUUCAGUGAUUCUGCCUGUGUUUGCAUCUUGAACUGGCAUUGCUCAAUAUGAAGACGAACGGUGAGCAGCAGGGGGACAGUCUGGUGGCUGUAUGGCUAAGUUCGCACGCCACUUUGGCGGCCCGGGGUUCGUGGGUUCAGAUCCUGGGCACGGACCUACACACCACUCAUCAGGCCUUGCUGUGGUGGCGUCCCACUUGGAGGAACCAGAAUAACUUGCAACUAGGAUAUACAACUAUGUACUGGGGCCUUGGGGAGAUUCAAAAAAAAAAGGAGGAAGAUUGGCAACAGAUGUUAGCUCAGGGCCAAUCUUCAAAAAAAAAUGCUCUUAAAAAAAAGAUGAACGGUAAAAUGCAUGCUAAUAAUGUAAGUUUUUCUUUACUGAGAAUGACAUUAAAUAGCAAAUAAAAAACACUGUGACAAGUUGAGAGAGCUGGGA